GACAAAACUCUGUUCAGUUUUGGUACCUUCUAGAGGAGGAUGUGUGGAAACAGUUGGAGAUGCGCCGAAAGCUUGACUCUGACUUCCACACGCUUUCCAUAUUUCCUCAUCUCCACCUAUAAAUACCUCUCUUCCUUCAUUCUACACAAACAGAAAGAAAACUAAUUCCCUCAAAAUCCCUUUAACCGUAAAAUUCUACAAUGUUGACGUCAAUUUUCACUUCUUUUGAUGCAUUCUGUGCCGAGUCUUUGGGCCACAAAAUUGGCGUUUCUUUGUCUACUCCUAAUGAAGAUGUGCAGCAGAAACAGGGGCAACUGGCUUCUACCAAAAUUGAAGGGGUGAAGAAGGCCGAACAAAUAAAUAAUUCGUCACGAGAAUCCAAGAAAUUGGAAGAUAGUCACCAAAAGAAGUCCAGAUUCGCGCCUGAAUUUGAUGGCCUUCACUGUUUUGAGACAAUUAUUCGGUCUUAAUUUCUUUUUUUGUUGACGAUGUGGUGUAAUAUCCAAUUUUUUGGUGUAUAACUAAUAGAAUAUUCUUUGUUCUUGAUGAAUUGAAAUUUUUUUGGUUGAUCUAUUCCUCUCUUUCAUUUUACCAGUGAAUAAGUAAAUGAAAAUAAGUUUGAUUUAUUUUUUAUUAUAAUGAAAACUUGGAAUUUAAGAUAUUGUUAGAAUCUGUAUCUUCAAAGGAGAAAAAAAGUUUUAGGCAGAAUUUAUGAAUGAAUUGAUCAAGAUUCCGAUUACAGUUGUUCAAUUUUCUGGGUGCAUGAUAUCUGUGUAAUUAAGCCCCUUAAGGCCGUACCUUACUGCGCACUCGUUGUAACUCCGCCGAUUCAAUUCCUUAUUGCAAUCUUUAAAUCUUUUAUUAAUUAAAUACAGGAUUACAAA
rnacentral:lncRNA from 1 species